GCCGAAGUGGCGGAAUCGGUAGACGCAGCGGACUCAAAAUCCGCCGCCCUUAAAAGCGUGUGGGUUCGAGCCCCACCUUCGGCACCA
rnacentral:tRNA from 1 species